UUCAGUGACGAUGGCGAAGAGGUCACACCCGUUCCCAUACCGAACACGGAAGUUAAGCUCUUCAGCGCCGAUGGUAGUUGGGGGUUUCCCCCUGCAAGAGUAGGACGUCGCUGGUC
rnacentral:rRNA from 1 species